rnacentral:rRNA from 1 species
UACAGAGGGUGCGAGCGUUGUCCGGAAUCACUGGGCGUAAAGGGCGCGUAGGUGGUGGCUUAAGCGUGCGGUGAAAGCUCGGGGCUCAACUCCGAGUCGGCCGUGCGAACUGGGCUCACUGGAGCAUAGUAGAGGCAGGUGGAAUUCCGGGUGUAGCGGUGGAAUGCGUAGAGAUCCGGAAGAACACCGGUGGCGAAGGCGACUCACUGGACACGUAUUGACGCUGAGACGCGAAAGCGUGGGGAGCAAACAGG